AACUCCCUUUGUUGAGUUCUCCAGUGCAGAGAAGAUUGGCAUGACUCCUGCACAAGGAUGAUGCAACUUCACGAAGCAUUCCAUAUCUUU
ensembl:snRNA U6 U6 spliceosomal RNA